GACAGGUCAACUUUUAGUUUUGAUCUUGUGAAAGAUUCAAAGCAUGAGCAUCCCCUUUUCUCUUUCUUGCUUGUUUUGACAGGAUGGGCUCGUCGUAUGUGUUCCAUUGGCUAAGACUUGUAGGGUCAAUCAUUGAUUGAGAGCUUAAUUUGAUUCGAGCUUUUUUCGUAUCAGUUUCAAGCAUUUCUGUAACGAUGGCGUGCAAAAAUAUCAGUCCAUGCAUAUUCAUAGUUUGCUCUGUUGUGGUUUCUGUUCUCUCUGCUGAACCAAGCUUGGAAGCUGAAAUUGAGGCCUUGAAGGCUUUCAAGAAUGCCAUCACGCAGGACCCUUUAGGAGCACUUGCUAAUUGGACUGAUGCAAGCCAUCGCUGCAAUUGGUCUGGUGUUACCUGUGACCCUUCCUCAAAUCUUGUCGUUUCCAUUUCUCUAGUUGACAAGCAGCUCCGAGGCCAGAUAUCUCCAUUUCUUGGAAAUCUCUCAGCUCUCCAGGUUCUUGAUUUGACUUUAAAUUCAUUUACUGGGCACAUUCCACCUCAGCUGGGACUUUGCUCCCAGCUAACAGAUCUUACUCUUUAUGAAAAUUCUCUUUCAGGUCCAAUUCCAGCAGAAUUAGGAAACCUUCAAAAUCUGCAUUCUGUAGAUUUAGGUGAUAAUUCCUUGAAUGGAAGUAUUCCUGAAAGCAUUUGCAAUUGCACUUCCUUGCAAGCGCUUGGUAUCAUUUUUAACAAUUUGACUGGA
rnacentral:misc_RNA from 1 species